rnacentral:rRNA from 1 species
UACGAAGGGGGCUAGCGUUGCUCGGAAUGACUGGGCGUAAAGGGCGCGUAGGCGGAUGACACAGUCAGAUGUGAAAUUCCCGGGCUCAACCUGGGGGCUGCAUUUGAUACAUGUUGUCUUGAGUUCGGAAGAGGGUCGUGGAAUUCCCAGUGUAGAGGUGAAAUUCGUAGAUAUCAAGCAGAACACCUGCGGCGAAGGCGGCCUUCUGGACGAUGACUGACGCUGAGACGCGAAAGCGUGGGGAGCAAACAGG